rnacentral:rRNA from 1 species
GACGAACGCUGGCGGCGUGCUUAACACAUGCAAGUCGAACGGGCCUGUCUUCUUUUUUGGGGGUGGGUUGAGUGGCGAACGGGUGAGUAUCACGUGAGUAACCUGCCCUUCGGUCCUGGAUAACCGCUUGAAAGGGCGGCUAAUACGGGGUGGUCCGGUUGGUCCGCAUGGGCUGGUCAGGAUAGAUUCACUGUUUUUGGUGUUUCGGCGGGGGAUGGGCUCGCGGCCUAUCAGCUUGUUGGUGGGGUGAUGGCCUACCAAGGCGGUGACGGGUAGCCGGCCUGAGAGGGUGGGCGGCCACACUGGGACUGAGAUACGGCCCAGACUCCUGCGGGAGGCAGCAGUGGGGGGUAUUGCACAAUGGGCGGAAGCCUGAUGCAGCGACGUCGCGUGAGGGAUGGAGGCCUUCGGGUUGUGAACCUCUGUUUCCGGUGGUGAAGGCCCUGUCCGUGUGGUGGGGUUGACGGUAGCCGGGGAUGAAGCGCCGGCUAACUACGUG